CAGUGUCAUCUGAAAAACAGUAAGGGCUACU
rnacentral:piRNA from 1 species